CCAGCGCGAGCUACGCGCUACGAGCAUAGCCGACAACAUGAGAAUCCACCACAACAUCCACCUUUCAAGAUGUUGCUCCUGUAACUGACAUUCAGCCCACCUUUCAUUCUGCUGCUUCUGCGCCAGGCACAUCAUGCGCCCAACAUAAGUACUUCUCUUGGGAUUCACAAUCAACCUACCUUUCAUUUCGCUACUUCUGCCCCAGGGUGGCCCCAGGCACCAGGCACUGCCAGCGCCCAACAUUUGCUCCUAGAAUUGACUAUCAGCACAUCUUUCAUUCUGCUGCUUCUAUGCCAGUUACGCCCGCUAUACAACAGUCUGAGGUGCCUACCAUCAUCAACAACGUAUGUACUGCAGAUUCUUCUGUAUUUGCAGAACAUAAUUAUAGUGUGAUGAGUCGUUCGA